rnacentral:rRNA from 1 species
AGAGUUUGAUCCUGGCUCAGGAUGAACGCUGGCGGCGUGCCUAAUACAUGCAAGUCGAACGCUUUGUCUUUAAUUGAUCUGACGAGCUUGCUCUGAUGUGAUUUUAUCUGACAAAGAGUGGCGAACGGGUGAGUAACACGUGGGUAACCUACCUCUUAGCAGGGGAUAACAUUUGGAAACAAGUGCUAAUACCGUAUAAUACCAACAACCGCAUGGUUGUUGGUUGAAAGGUGGUUCUGCUAUCACUAAGAGAUGGACCCGCGGUGCAUUAGCUAGUUGGUAAGGUAACGGCUUACCAAGGCAAUGAUGCAUAGCCGAGUUGAGAGACUGAUCGGCCACAAUGGGACUGAGACACGGCCCAUACUCCUACGGGAGGCAGCAGUAGGGAAUCUUCCACAAUGGGCGCAAGCCUGAUGGAGCAACGCCGCGUGUGUGAUGAAGGGUUUCGGCUCGUAAAACACUGUUAUAAGAGAAGAACGGCACUGAGAGUAACUGUUCAGUGUGUGACGGUAUCUUACCAGAAAGGAACGGCUAAAUACGUGCCAGCAGCCGCGGUAAUACGUAUGUUCCAAGCGUUAUCCGGAUUUAUUGGGCGUAAAGCGAGCGCAGACGGUUAUUUAAGUCUGAAGUGAAAGCCCUCAGCUCAACUGAGGAAUGGCUUUGGAAACUGGAUGACUUGAGUGCAGUAGAGGAAAGUGGAACUCCAUGUGUAGCGGUGAAAUGCGUAGAUAUAUGGAAGAACACCAGUGGCGAAGGCGGCUUUCUGGACUGUAACUGACGUUGAGGCUCGAAAGUGUGGGUAGCAAACAGGAUUAGAUACCCUGGUAGUCCACACCGUAAACGAUGAGUGCUAGAUGUUCGAGGGUUUCCGCCCUUGAGUGUCGCAGCUAACGCAUUAAGCACUCCGCCUGGGGA